CCUACGGGAGGCAGCAGUGGGGAAUUUUGGACAAUGGGCGCAAGCCUGAUCCAGCCAUGCCGCGUGCGGGAAGAAGGCCUUCGGGUUGUAAACCGCUUUUGUCAGGGAAGAAACGGUCUGAACUAAUAUUUUGGACUAAUGACGGUACCUGAAGAAUAAGCACCGGCUAACUACGUGCCAGCAGCCGCGGUAAUACGUAGGGUGCAAGCGUUAAUCGGAAUUACUGGGCGUAAAGCGUGCGCAGGCGGUUGUGCAAGACAGAUGUGAAAUCCCCGGGCUCAACCUGGGAACUGCAUUUGUGACUGCACAGCUAGAGUACGGUAGAGGGGGAUGGAAUUCCGCGUGUAGCAGUGAAAUGCGUAGAUAUGCGGAGGAACACCGAUGGCGAAGGCAAUCCCCUGGACCUGUACUGACGCUCAUGCACGAAAGCGUGGGGAGCAAACAGGAUUAGAUACCCUGGUAGUCCACGCCCUAAACGAUGUCACUGGUUGUUAGGGUAACGGUUCCUUCUCAGUAACGUAGCUAACGCGUGAAGUUCGACCGCCGUGGGGUAGGUACGGCCGGCCGACGGUUAGGUAACGUACGAAGUAGAAGUUAGUACGGCGUGAGACGUGACCGACGGACGACGACGAGGGAGGAGG
rnacentral:rRNA from 1 species